CCUUGAUAAAACGCAAGGAGAUCCUAUAAUGUCUGUCGGACGAUGAACAAGUUGAACACAUGUUUUGUACUUGCCAUACCAAGUGAGAACUAAAUAUUCCUCCAACUCAGAACAAUGAAAAUACAGUUUCUUAGUUAAAUCCAGCUACAUGAAUCCAAAAUCUAAAUAAAUAAAUAAAUAAAUAAAGUGUAUACAAGUAAUUGAAAAGUUAAUAGAGUCAUAAUUGAGUAUUCUUGAAAGUUGAGAUUCUAGUAUUAAUAUUAUUACAGUUGAUUUAAUUUUGUAGGUGAGUGAUUUGAAAUAGAGAUUUAAUUAGCUUUAAAAGCCAUAGUGUGUUCUCCCAUGCUACACACUAUGCUGUAUUGAUCUCUCUCUCUGAAAGAGUCUUAAAACACCGACUCACUCACUAUUGUAUAAAGCAAUGAAUGAAAAGAAAGGCCCUCACACUGAACUUUUGUAAUUGCAAUAUUUACUCCAAAUUUCCUCAUUCUGCAUACUUCUUGGGAUUUUUCCAAACAAUUAAUACAUUUCCUGGCCACAAUUUACACUCUUUCUUCUACCCAACAAUUCAAUUCAAUUCAAUUCAGCUCUAUCAUCAACACUUUCUCUCUCUAAUUCACUCACCCUAUACCCUCUUCUCUCCACCUCUCUCACUCAAUUUAAUUAAGCUUUAAAUCACCCCCCCUCCCCCCUUCAAUUUUUCUUAUAUAAAAUGGCCUACUUGUUCCAACCACUCAUCACAGCUCACUUUCUUGCUGCCGGAGCUCUCCUUUAGCAACACUUUCCUCUUUCAUUCUUCUUUCUCUUAAGGUAAAAUACUUUUGCAGAAAGAAAGGGGGGCAAAAACAAUGAGUCGAAGAAAUGGAAGUGGUCCAAAGCUUGACUUGAAACUCAACUUAUCUCCACCAAGGGUUGACCACAGAAGAGUCCAGUCGUCAUCACCAACAAGAUCAGCUACUGUUUCGCCAACAUCACCACCGAGCUCGUGUGUGUCCACUGAGCUAAACCAAGAAGAUGGAACCAACCUGCAGAGAUACUCAAACAGCCCUGAAGCCACUUCCAUGGUUUUAGUUGGUUGUCCUCGCUGCCUUAUGUAUGUCAUGCUUUCUGAAGAUGAUCCAAAGUGUCCCAAAUGCAAGAGCACUGUUUUGCUUGAUUUUGUCCAUGAAAACAACAAAAGAAGGAAUUAAGUGCAUGUUUGGAAAUACGGUGAGUUUAACGAAAUCACGUUCACUCUGUCGUUUUGUUGAUCCAACCAAAAUUACAAGUAACAUGCUGUGUUUAUAUAAAAAAGAAAAAUAAACUCACCGUCGAUUCAAACAUGCACUGCCUGUAGGCUACCACCCUGUUGCCAGUUCUGCAUUCUCUGCUGCUAGUAGGACAUGUUAGCAUUUAACCUAGGAAUCUCCAUUUCAAUAUGUUUCUUUUCUAUUAGUAUUAAUCCUCGUUUAUGUUUUUUUUUAACCUUUUCCAUGAAUAGUUCUACUUGCACUCCACUUUUUGCCUUUCUUACAUCUACCUGUAAGGAAAAUAUCACAAAAUCUUGCUAAAGCAAGAAAAGCAGAUAGAUAAGAGUGGAGCGUAAAUAGCACUAUUCAAGUAUUUAUAUAUAGAAUCUAGAAGAAAAGCUAGUCAGAAAUUGGGAAUGGUAGGGAAAUCUAUGUAACUCUAUAUGGGAUUGGGUUCAGCUUUUCUGCUUUUUAGCAGCAAUGUAAUAGGACUCAACCUCUUCUGGUGUCAUUUUAGUAUGUUUAUUGAAAUUUUAGGUGGAAUCAACUUUUGUAUUA